rnacentral:rRNA from 1 species
GAUGAACGCUAGCGGCAGGCUUAAUACAUGCAAGUCGAGGGGCAGCACGGUUAGCAAUAACUGGUGGCGACCGGCGCACGGGUGCGUAACACGUAUACAAUCUACCUUAAACAGGGGGAUAGCCUUUCGAAAGAGAGAUUAAUACCCCGUAAUAAAUUGAACGGCAUCGUUUGAUUUUGAAAGCUCCGGCGGUUUGAGAUGAGUAUGCGUCUGAUUAGCUAGUUGGUGAGGUAACGGCUCACCAAGGCGACGAUCAGUAGGGGAUCUGAGAGGACUAACCCCCACACUGGUACUGAGACACGGACCAGACUCCUACGGGAGGCAGCAGUAAGGAAUAUUGGUCAAUGGAGGCAACUCUGAACCAGCCAUGCCGCGUGCAGGAUGACGGCCCUAUGGGUUGUAAACUGCUUUUAUUCGGGAAUAAACCUGCUUACGUGUAAGUAGCUGAAUGUACCGAAGGAAUAAGGAUCGGCUAACUCCGUGCC